UACGUAGGGGGCAAGCGUUGUCCGGAAUCAUUGGGCGUAAAGAGCGCGUAGGCGGCCCAGUAAGUCCGCUCUGAAAGUCAGGGGCUCAACCCCUGGAUGCGGGUGGAUACUGCUGGGCUAGAGUCCGGAAGAGGUGAGCGGAAUUCCCGGUGUAGUGGUGAAAUGCGUAGAUAUCGGGAGGAACACCAGUGGCGAAGGCGGCUUCCUGGGCCUGUUCUUGACGCUGAGGCGCGAAAGCUAGGG
rnacentral:rRNA from 1 species